GUCUGGUUCGGUUCGGCCCCGGGGCUGCGGCGGCUCCGGGGCUGCGGGGUGUGACCCACGCCCUGGGGAGCCACCUCGCCGCCGCUGAGUGGAAGCCCCGAGAGAGGUGGGUGCGAGGCCCGCAGGCGGCGGAGUCCUUCGGGUGAAGCCGGGAGCUCAUGGUCCGAGGUGACGAGGAGGAAGCUCAAGAUGCUCUGCUGGCUGCUCGCGGGGGCAGAGGAUCGCAGAGAAGAUGGUUCUGGAGGCUGCGCCUGCAGAAGAGUUUUUGUCCAUGAGGAACGGGAUCUGAAGCUGGCUACGAAUGGCCUCCGGGACAAGACACACAGGCGAGGCGCCCCCUGAACCCUUUGAGUUCACUGUUCUCUCCUUGUUACCAAGGCAGGGCUGUGGUCCCAGAUCUGAGGAAACCUGAAUCCAGAAGUGUGAAUGGGGAAAUGCUUUCGGCUGACUGUGGCCAAUCAUCGCAUUGAAAGGCAGGCGAUGAAGAUGAACAGUUGGUUCAGAUUGCUGUCUCUUUCAACUCCAAGUUCCCCUCUGUCUUGCUGCCCUUGUGCAGGGAGAUGUUGGAAUGUCUAAGGGCAUUUUGGAAUGCUAAGGAGAAGCUGAGAAUCUGAUGCAGGUUGGAUGGCCCCCCAUGCUGUUAUCUUCCAAGGACCCAGCGGCUCAGGAACUCAGACUGUUUCAUUCUUGCAACUCUGACAUUUCAGUUUCAUUUGACCGCAGAUAGAUGCACAGAGGCAAAACGAUAGUAAGAUUCAGCCUGACACCUGCAACAUAUGGACCCAUCAGAGCAAAUAAUGUCUCUCUGUGGACUUUUAUUAGGCCCAUUCAUAUGUUUUACAAGAAAGAGUGGCUGUUUUUAUGGGAUCCUAAAUUUUUUUGUCCAAGAAUUUCAUACAUGACACAAUUUGGAUUGUUUGCCAUUUUAUACCUCUUCAUCCAUUAUCAUCUUGGGGAUGACUUUCAUCUUUCUUUGCAUUGGGCUUUCAUUUCUUGUAUGUCAUGUAUUUGUCUUUCCUGCUUUACUUCCU